UACGAAGGGUGCAAGCGUUAAUCGGAAUUACUGGGCGUAAAGGGUGCGUAGGCGGUUAGUUAUGUCUGUCGUGAAAUCCCCGGGCUCAACCUGGGAAUGGCGAUGGAUACUGGCUAGCUAGAGUGUGUCAGAGGAUGGUGGAAUUCCCGGUGUAGCGGUGAAAUGCGUAGAGAUCGGGAGGAACAUCAGUGGCGAAGGCGGCCAUCUGGGACAACACUGACGCUGAAGCACGAAAGCGUGGGGAGCAAACAGG
rnacentral:rRNA from 1 species